rnacentral:tRNA from 1 species
GAGGGUAUAGCUCAUUGGUAGAGUGCAUGCCUAGCAUGCAUGAGGUCCUGGGUGCUGCCUUCGAUCCCCAGUACCUCCA